rnacentral:rRNA from 1 species
UCUGGUUGAUCCUGCCAGAUCUGACUGCUAUCCGGGUGGGACUAAGCCAUGUAAGUCUAACUCACUUCGGUGGGUGGCAAACUGCUCAGUAACAAGUAGUCAACAUACCCUAAGGUCGAGUAUACCCUCGCGAAAGUGAGGCUAAUCCCCGAUAGUUGCCCACGCCUGGAACGGUGGGGCAUCGAAAGCUCCGGCGCCUCAGGAUUGGACUGCUCCCGAUUAUGGUUGUUGGUGAGGUCAUGGCUCACCAAGCCUAUGAUCGGUAGGGGCCGUGCGAGCGGGAGCCCCGAGAUGGUUACUUAGACAACGAACCAGGCCUUACGAGGCGCAACAGGCGCGAAACCUUUACAAUGCGCGAAAGCGCGAUAAGGUCACCCGGAGUGCAUCCGAGUACAACUCGAUGCUGUUGAAGUGUCUAACACGCACUUCGAGGAAGGAGAGGGCAAGGCUGGUGCCAGCCGCCGCGGUAACACCAGCUCUUCAAGUGGUCAGGACUUUUAUUGGGCCUAAAGCGCUCGUAGCCGGGUGGGUAAAUCUCUGGUUAAAGCCGGUCGCUCAACGAUCGGAUUGCUAGAGACACUGCCCUCCUUGAAGAUGGGAGAAGUCUGAGGUACUCGAUGGGUAGCGGUGAAAUGUGUUCAUCCAUCGGGGACCACCUGUGGCGAAGGCGUCAGACCGGAACAUGCUUGACGGUGAGGAGCGAAAGCUAGGGGAGCGAACAGGAUUAGAUACCCUGGUAGUCCUAGCUGUAAACGAUGCGCGCUAGGUGUUCAAAAGGCUAUGAGCCGUUUGAGUGCCGUAGGGAAGCCGUUAAGCGCGCCGCCUGGGAAGUACGCUCGCAAGAGUGAAACUUAAAGGAAUUGACGGGGGAGCACUACAAAGAGUGAAGCUUGCGGCUCAAUUGGACUCAACGCCGGGAACCUUACCGGGAGCGACAGCAGAAUGAAGGUCAGGUUGAUGGCCUUACCAGACAAGCUGAGCGGUGGUGCAUGGCCGUCGUCAGUUCGUGCCGUGAGGUGUCCUGUUAAGUCAGGCAACGAACGAGAUCCUUAUGCCUAAUUGCCAUCAAGAGCCUCCGGGUUCGUUGGGAACGUUAGGUAGACUGCCAUCGUAUAGAUGGAGGAAGGGAAGGGCCACGGCAGGUCAGUAUGCCCCUAAUCUCCCGGGCCGCACGCGAGCUGCAAUGGCAUGGACAAUGGGUUGCGACGCCGACAGGCGAAGCCAAUCUCGAAACCAUGUCUCAGUUGGGAUUGUGGGCUGCAACCCGCCCACAUGAACGUGGAAUUCUUAGUAAUCGUGUGUCAACAACACACGGUGAAUACGUCUCUGCUCCUUGUACACACCGCCCGUCGCUCCAUGAGAUUCGUUCAGGGGUGAAUUAUGGUCCAGAGGGUCGUAAUGAACUCUUGGGUGGAGAUCAGGGAGAAGUCGUAACAAGG